rnacentral:rRNA from 1 species
CUGGAGGUAUCAGAAGUGCGAAUGCUGACAUAAGUAACGAUAAAGCGGGUGAAAAGCCCGCUCGCCGGAAGACCAAGGGUUCCUGUCCAACGUUAAUCGGGGCAGGGUGAGUCGACCCCUAAGGCGAGGCCGAAAGGCGUAGUCGAUGGGAAACGGGUUAAUAUUCCCGUACUUGGUGUUACUGCGAAGGGGGGACGGAGAAGGCUAUGUUGGCCGGGCGACGGUUGUCCCGGUUUAAGCGUGUAGGUGUGUGUUCCAGGUAAAUCCGGUUCACUUUAACACUGAGGCGUGAUGACGAGGCACUACGGUGCUGAAGCAACAAAUGCCCUGCUUCCAGGAAAAGCCUCUAAGCAUCAGGUAACAUCAAAUCGUACCCCAAACCGACACAGGUGGUCAGGUAGAGAAUACCAAGGCGCUUGAGAGAACUCGGGUGAAGGAACUAGGCAAAAUGGUGCCGUAACUUCGGGAGAAGGCACGCUGACACGUAGGUGAAGUGAUUUACUCAUGGAGCUGAAGUCAGUCGAAGAUACCAGCUGGCUGCAACUGUUUAUUAAAAACACAGCACUGUGCAAACACGAAAGUGGACGUAUACGGUGUGACGCCUGCCCGGUGCCGGAAGGUUAAUUGAUGGGGUCAGCGCAAGCGAAGCUCCUGAUCGAAGCCCCGGUAAACGGCGGCCGUAACUAUAACGGUCCUAAGGUAGCGAAAUUCCUUGUCGGGUAAGUUCCGACCUGCACGAAUGGCGUAAUGAUGGCCAGGCUGUCUCCACCCGAGACUCAGUGAAAUUGAACUCGCUGUGAAGAUGCAGUGUACCCGCGGCAAGACGGAAAGACCCCGUGAACCUUUACUAUAGCUUGACACUGAACAUUGAGCCUUGAUGUGUAGGAUAGGUGGGAGGCUUUGAAGUGUGGACGCCAGUCUGCAUGGAGCCGGCCUUGAAAUACCACCCUUUAAUGUUUGAUGUUCUAACGUGGACCCGUGAUCCGGGUUGCGGACAGUGUCUGGUGGGUAGUUUGACUGGGGCGGUCUCCUCCUAAAGAGUAACGGAGGAGCACGAAGGUUGGCUAAUCCUGGUCGGACAUCAGGAGGUUAGUGCAAUGGCAUAAGCCAGCUUGACUGCGAGCGUGACGGCGCGAGCAGGUGCGAAAGCAGGUCAUAGUGAUCCGGUGGUUCUGAAUGGAAGGGCCAUCGCUCAACGGAUAAAAGGUACUCCGGGGAUAACAGGCUGAUACCGCCCAAGAGUUCAUAUCGACGGCGGUGUUUGGCACCUCGAUGUCGGCUCAUCACAUCCUGGGGCUGAAGUAGGUCCCAAGGGUAUGGCUGUUCGCCAUUUAAAGUGGUACGCGAGCUGGGUUUAGAACGUCGUGAGACAGUUCGGUCCCUAUCUGCCGUGGGCGCUGGAGAACUGAGGGGGGCUGCUCCUAGUACGAGAGGACCGGAGUGGACGCAUCACUGGUGUUCGGGUUGUCAUGCCAAUGGCACUGCCCGGUAGCUAAAUGCGGAAGAGAUAAGUGCUGAAAGCAUCUAAGCACGAAACUUGCCCCGAGAUGAGUUCUCCCUGAGACUUAGAGUCUCCUGAAGGA